ACCCCCUGACAACAGGUAAAGAGAUACCUUGUUGGUGAUGUUCUUAUAUCAGCCUGGGGUAGAGCAGUUGGCAGUCCUUUGUUCAUUGUAGCCUGACGCCUGGCUUGGUGGUAAAAGCUGUUUUAUGCCUAGGACACAUAA